rnacentral:lncRNA from 1 species
AGAUAAAUCAAUGGACUUUUAAAAUUCCAGUUUUACUACUAUGUGGAAUUCACUACAAUGGAGUUGAGGAGAUGGUUUCAAGAGAAGAUGAAAUAAUUGGAGUAAGACCAACUGGAUCAAGCCUAAGUCUGGAUAAGAAGCUCAUGGGGGAGCCCAGGAGUCUGCUGAGAGCACCUGCAAACCGACAUUUGGGUGAAUCUGUUUCACUGUACCACUGGCUGCUCCUCAUGAAUCUCCGCCUGGUGUACUCCUCAUCUGCUUGGGCCUCCACACCCAGCUGCUCAUUUCAACUAAAAGGAGCUGGUACCUUCAGGUAGACCAGCUCUAGUUGCUGAUGGGGCCACUUACUGUUUGUUUAUUCUCUGCAAGUUACUUUGAUUCUCUCAGCUUUAGUUUUUCUUGUCAAAUGGGACUUGUUUUGAAGUUCAUUCAAGUGAUUUUUGAAAAGCACCCAACGGUCCUAGUCCUGUCAUCUGCAAGGGAGUGACUAAAAGAACAACUCUGAGGACAGACAGCCUGAUGAUUGGUGAAGUGAAUGUGAGCAGGUUACUUCACCUUCCUAGGCCUCAGUUUCCUCAUUUGCAACUUGUGACUAAUAAAGAUGCUAUCCCUUGGAGUAGUUGUCAAGAUUAAAUGUGUCAAAAUAUGUGAAAUGCUGGGGACAUAGCUCAGUUGGUAGAGUGCUUGCCUUGCAUGCACAAGGCCCUGGGUUCUAAUACCCAGCACCACCACAAAAAAAAAAAAAAAAGUCAAUAUGUGUGAAGUGGCAAAAAAUCUACUUGGUAAGUGGUAUAAAAGUGCCCUUUCUCAUUGCUAAGCUGAUGGGGUUGGCUCUGGUUAGUUUUCACUCAGCGUAGCCUUCACUGAACCUGCUAAGGGCAAAGUCCAUUUUGUUCAAUUCGGGCAACACAAAGAUAAGCAAUGACCUAGCAAUUUGGGGUCUCCUGGGGUCUCCACAUACGGACAGAAGCCAAGGGAAAAGGUUCUUUCCCUCCAUGAGACUGCGUUGUCCUCCUUGUACCAGAGGCACAGGGAGGGAAGCUCUUGGGUACCCUCCCCACUGGUUUGCUGUUUGCUUCUUGAAUGCACAUGUUAAUUGAAAUCACAGCUCUGAGGGGGGUUCACAGCUCUGAGGGGGGUUCACAGCCCCAGGGGCAUCCCUAAAUCUCUGGCUAGCAAGUGGGAGGCCUGAGCCGGGAGGACCUGCAUCUAGUCUGCUAGUCAGUGGCUUGGAGACACCAACUCCUCGAGGGGCUUGUGGUCUGAAGCACACAGACCCCCAGGAGCUAAAU